CAAGGCUUCUGCAGGCAACUGCCUUCAGUUAAGAAAAACUGCCAGGUUACAGGAAUGCGAUAUUGAUUUUUUAUUUCUUUUAAAUUAAUAAUCAUUGGCGUCCUGAAUACUGCUUAAUUUCUUAUUUGUAGAGGUACAGAGCUGAAGCCUGUUAGAUGUCGUUUACGGCAUUUUCCAGAGGCAAAUAAUGAGGGCUCAGGGAUAACUUGGUCGCAGCUAAAUUACUAGUGAAGGUUUUUCAUGAGUUUAAAAGUGUUCUUGGGCUGAUUAACAGUCACAUGUGCACGGACACAUUGUAUUUUGUGCAGAGCAUCUGGGCUCGACUUAAACACUGAUGUUCAGCCGACAGGAUUUGGUUCCUGGUAUACCCGCACUGUCUCUCUCCUACAAUUCAGGCCGGCACUCU
rnacentral:lncRNA from 1 species